UGCGUAGGGGGCAAGCGUUGUCCGGAUUUAUUGGGCGUAAAGAGCGUGUAGGCGGCCAGAUAGGUCAGCUGUGAAAACUCGAGGCUCAACCUCGAGACGUCGGUUGAAACCAUCUGGCUAGAGUCCGGAAGAGGAGAGUGGAAUUCCCGGUGUAGCGGUGAAAUGCGCAGAUAUCGGGAAGAACACCCGUGGCGAAGGCGGCUCUCUGGGACGGUACUGACGCUGAGACGCGAAAGCGUGGGGAGCGAACAGG
rnacentral:rRNA from 1 species